rnacentral:rRNA from 1 species
ACCGGCGCAAGGGUGCGUAACGCGUGAGCAACAUGCCCGUAUCAGGGGAAUAAUCUAGGGAAACUUAGUCUAAUACCCCAUAGCAUUAUUAAUCGGCAUCGAUUUAUAAUUAAAGCUUUGGUGGAUACGGAUUGGCUCGCGUGACAUUAGUUAGAUGGUAAGGUAACGGCUUACCAUGACUAUGAUGUCUAGGGGUUCUGAGAGGAAGAUCCCCCACACUGGAACUGAGACACGGUCCAGACUCCUACGGGAGGCAGCAGUGAGGAAUAUUGGACAAUGGAUGGAAAUCUGAUCCAGCCAUGCCGCGUGCAGGAAGACGGUCCUAUGGAUUGUAAACUGCUUUUAUAUGGGAGCAAUAAGGUCUUUGCGAAGACUGAUGAGAGCACCAUAUGAAUAAGGAUCGGCUAACUCCGUGCCAGCAGCCGCGGUAAUACGGAGGAUCCAAGCGUUGUUCGGAUUUAUUGGGUUUAAAGGGUGCGUAGGCGGAUUUUUAAGUCAGUGGUGAAAGCCUGUAGCUCAACUACAGAAUUGCCAUUGAAACUGAAAAUCUUGAGUAUAGUUGAGGUGGAUGGAAUGUUGCAUGUAGCGGUGAAAUGCUU